GGAGUGUGAGACUUGUCCUCGGAUUGGACACCUCAGCCGCCGUCGAUGUAACUCCCUUUCCGAUUGGUUGGAUUCAGGUGGUGAGCUGCACAGUGCUGUCAGGGCCUCUCCAGUUGGAUGUUAGAGGCAUCAGCCCUGAGCUGGGAUCAGGGGUACAGAUAUAAGCAGAAGUGUCUCCUCACUGUUGUAGGUUGUUUUCUUUUAAACAUUUUAUUAGAAUUUUCAAGCAUUCAGGAAACUUAAAAAACACCCAUAUGCCCACCAUCUAGUUUCUGCAGUAGAGUUGUCCCUUCAACAGUGUGGCUCUGAACUAUGUGAGUCCACGUAUAUACAGGCUUUUUUCAAGAAAUAGUACUACGGUACUACACGAUCUGCAGUUGAUGGAACCCAUGAAUAUGGAACCAUGGAUACAGUUACAAAGGAAGUUAUAAUCGGAUUUUUGACUGCACGGAAGGUUGGCACCCCUAACCCUGACAUUGUUCAAGAAUCAGCUGUAAACAUAUUCUGUACUUGCUUUACCCAUGUAUCUAGCCAUCUGUUCAUCCAUCCAUUAAUUCAUCUUAUUGUUUGAUGCAUUUCAAUGUCAGUUGUCAUUGUUAUCAGUACACUUCACUUAGAAACAUUUCAGCAGCAGCAUAUCAAUAAUGGUAGUACAGAAUUUUUUUAGAGUUAUUCUUCAUUUUAAAUAAAAUUUACAAAGACUAAAAUGUACAAAUCUAAAGCAUACUGUUCUGAGUUUUGACAGAUACAUACACCUGUGUAAUUCAAAGUCCUGUCAAAAUGCACGACGUUUCAUUCCCCUGGGCAAGUACCUUUAUAACCCUUCCUGUCUACCCCUGUCCCCAGGUAACCACUGUUUGACUUUUUUAAAAGUUAAAGAUUUGUUUUACCCUCUGUAACAUCAUAUAAAAGGAAUAAAAUAAUAUAAUAAGUACUCUUUUGUGUCUGGUUGUUUCACUAACAUGAUGCAUUUGAAAUUUACCCAUGUUGUUGUGUGUAUCAGUACUUCAUACCUUUUUAUUAGGAGUCUUUGGCCCAACAUUGACCAAGAAAGCCUCAAGACAGGCCUGGCAGCAAGUUGGAGCCAGGCAAGGCCACAGCAGUCCUCUCUCAUGGAUCACUCAGUGACAGAAGUCAGUGGCCAUGUCAUUAGGACACUCAUGCAGCUCCAUGGAGGGCAGCGUGUGGGAAGGAACUGAGGCCUCCUGCCAGCAGCCAGACGAGUGAGCCAUCUUGGAAGCAAGUUCUGCAGCCCCAGGCAAGCCUUCCGAUGACUGCAGCUCUACCUUACAUAAUUGCAACCUCAUGGGAGAACUCAAGCCAGUAUUCCAUGGUGUUGAAGUAGUAGCCAGCAUUGCACAGUACAGAUACACCACAAUUUAUUUAUCCAUUUACCAGUUAAUGGACAC